GCUACGCAGCUUGGAUCCUAUCCUGUGGAGCCUGAGUUUCGCGUCAGCAGCGUGUUUGGCGUGGCUGUGUUGGAUCCACGUGGCUGUCUUGAGGGGUCCAUGUCAUUGGUUCAACAGCCCAUUGGUUCGACAUCCCAUUAGUCCGACUGUCCGUGGUGCUGAACGGCUCGCGGCGGGCGUAUGGUGCGCCGCGACCGGCUUGAGGCAGAGCAGGCUCACGGCUUAUGUGUUUGUCACUUUCUUUUUCAUUUUAACCCACACCAUGAUCUUUUCCUGACCCUAACCAAGUGGUUUUUGUGCCUAAACCUAACCAGACCUUAACCACAGGGCAUCAUGAUGAUUUCGGAACGGACUUCGGAACAAUGAGUUUAAUAUGGUCGGAACAAUGGGAUGUUGAACCAAUGGGCUGUCGAACCAAUGGGCAGUUCCCGUCUUGAGACGCUUGUUGUCGGACUUCCUCCGUUCAUUGUUGCAGGUAUGUUCCGAUGAGCUCGCUGCCUUUCUGGGUCAUAUUGGUGGCAUGUCUGAUGCACUUUCUGCUUUCCAGCAGAGUUAGCUUGUAUUCAGGCCGGAGGUUGGGAGUCGGGAGUGUGCGGCCUCGGAGCUGUGCGUAAUAAUCCACGCGCUGCGUUGGAUUCCUGAGUUAAGCUGCAUCCUUUUGCCGCUACCUCCCCUGUUGCCUGCAAAGCUGAGCCUUAACUUACAGGAGCUGUUUGGCCGGGGUGUGCGAGUGACUGACUGAUCCCCGCAGUGGUGGUCCCUUCACUUCCUGUACAGUAGUGUACUUGGGUGUCAUUCAACGGUGUGGUUUUUUUUCUUCACGUGUGGUGUGUAGCGUCAGGACCCUUCCCCUUCCCCUCAGUUAGUCAUCUCUGCCUGGUGAGCCCUCAGCCCUGUGCCAAUUUGCUGCACUUUAUUAGCAAACUUAACCAAACCACUAGGAGGCCUUAAGGGAUUGUGCAAUAUUCGGCCACUUAUUAUUAUAUUCUUUGUUUGCCUCACCACCAAGCGAUUUUGUCCAAGGUUGGGAAUUUUAAAGUGUUGUUAAUAAAACUUUCUUGUGUAUAAAUU